AGGAACUGGGCAAGAUCGAUUUGAGCUAUUAGAAGUAAAUGCGACUUCCAAAAUCUCGAGAGAUGAUUUUGAGCCUGCUCGGCAAAUUGACAAGUCGGAAAAACACCGCGGCAGACUCCUAUGCCGGAAAAAUCUCACAAAUCAUAAGAACAUGAGCACUGAUAUUAGUAUGUAGAUCUAGAGAUCAUUCUAAAAUCGACAUGUCAACUGGCAUCAAUUAUUCCUUGAAAUUAAAUAUUCGCUUGUCCUUCAAGAAAUUGCACACAUUAACAGUAAAAAUCCUAUAUUAUCCACAAAUAUUUUGAUAAAUUUGCUUUGUCCGCUCCGAAUUGGAAUUAAAGUAAUACUCACAGUGUUAUAAUUAGAGACUUUCAGGGUCGUAGUUUUUGCGUCGACAAAUACGAGCUGAGCGCGGGUUCAGAGGAGGCAUAACUUUCAUUUUCUUUGGACAUAUAUCAGUACUUGGUAGUUUCUAUUCAAUACCUUUACCACUCUCCCGAGUUAGGUCUCCGAUGAGUAAAAUUCAAGCGCGCAGCCAUUUGGAGUUGCAAAGGAGUCCGGUCUUGACGGAUGAACUCGAUUUCGACGAGAAAAAUACGCACUGCCGAACAAAUUCUAACGGCGAGCAGCGAAUCGAGCUUCCCAACCACGAUCAGCUUACAUACGAGACUUUGAGCUGUUGCAUCAAUGGAAGCAGCCUCUCAUUGGUGGGCACGCAUCCCUGGUUUAACCCUUAGGUAUGCUAAUUUGUACUCACAAUGGCCGAAACAUUCAACCGCCACUUCUAUUCUAUUUGACCCAAGUGAGUCCCAGUGAUCAGAGCUACAAAGUUUGAGGCCCAAGAAAGUCGAGCUCCAAUACAUUCGCAAGUUUAGAGAAAUGUCAAAAAUCGAGAGCUCUUUUGAGAAAUCUCGUUAAAGCUGAGCUCACUCUAAGGACAUCCAUCUCGCCAAGUCAGUAUCUUUCUAGAAUAAUUCACGAGUUAUUCUACUCUACACCCAACGAGAAAAAAAAAAAAAAAAACAAACAAAAACCAGGAAUCAAAUUGAUAACAAGAAACGUAUUGACAUAAAAUAGCCUCACUAGCAAUAAGCAUACUUCUUCAAGAAUUCAAUUUGAUAAUCAGGGUCACGGUUGAGUUACUUAUCACAUGCAUUUCAUAACAAUUUGAACAAAUAUUACACAAUAAUCAACUAAAAUUCACUUGCCUGCUUAUAAUGACGAGCUAACAUGCUUGUACAAAAUAGCAAAACGAGUUCAAAUCUCUAGCGAAAUAAACUUCGAAAAUUCAAAUUUGUGUUUACAAAAAUUUAUAGUUACUAGCACCAUCAAAAUUGAACGAAAAUCAUAUUAUGAUUAUUUUUCGAGUAUGACCGCCACUUUUUGAAAAAUCAGAGAUUCAUUUUAGAAAGCAUUGACGAGUACAGUAGUAUGGUUCGGUACUCGAGCUAUGAACAAGAAAUACCUAAUCCUG
rnacentral:lncRNA from 1 species